rnacentral:rRNA from 1 species
GAAACGACUGCUAAGACUGGAUAGGAAAAGUGAAGGCAUCUUUACUUUUUUAAAAGACCUUCUUUGAAGGUAUGCUUAAGGAGGGGCUUGCGACACAUUAGUUAGUUGGCAGGGUAAAGGCCUACCAAGACUAUGAUGUGUAGCUGGACUGAGAGGUUGAACAGCCACAUUGGGACUGAGACACGGCCCAAACUCCUACGGGAGGCAGCAGUAGGGAAUUUUCGGCAAUGGAGGAAACUCUGACCGGGCAACACCGCGUGAACGAUGAAGUACCUCGGUAUGUAAAGUUCUUUUAUUAAGGAAGAAAAAAGAGUGGAAAAACUCCCUUGACGGUACUUAAUGAAUAAGCCCCGGCUAAUUAUGUGCCAGCAGCCGCGGUAAUACAUAAGGGGCGAGCGUUAUCCGGAAUUAUUGGGCGUAAAGGGUGCGUAGGCGGUUUAAUAAGUCUAUAGUUUAAUUUCAGCGCUUAACGCUGUUGUGCUAUAGAAACUGUUUUACUAGAGUGAGAUAGAGGCAAGCGGAAUUCCAUGUGUAGCGGUAAAAUGCGUAAAUAUAUGGAGGAACACCAGAGGCGUAGGCGGCUUGCUGGGUCUUUACUGACGCUGAGGCACGAAAGCGUGGGGAGCAAACAGGAUUAGAUACCCUGGUAGUCCACGCUGUAAACGAUGAGUACUAAGUGUCGGGUAAAACCGGUACUGAAGUUAACACAUUAAGUACUCCGCCUGAGGAGUACGUACGCAAGUAUGAAACUUAAAGGAAUUGACGGGACUCCGCACAAGCGGUGGAUCAUGUUGUUUAAUUCGAAGAUACACGAAAAACCUUACCAGGUCUUGACAUUUUCUUGCGAAGUUAUAGAAAUAUAAUGGAGGUUAUCAGGAAAACAGGUGGUGCAUGGUUGUCGUCAGCUCGUGUCGUGAGAUGUUAGGUUAAGUCCUAAAACGAGCGCAACCCUUGUCGUUAAUUGCCAGCAUGUAAUGAUGGGGACUUUAACGAGACUGCCAAUGAAAAAUUGGAGGAAGGUGGGGAUUACGUCAAAUCAUCAUGCCCCUUAUGAUCUGGGCUACAAACGUGAUACAAUGGUUGAUACAAAGAGUAGCUGAAACGUGAGUUCUUAGCCAAUCUCACAAAAUCAAUCUCAGUUCGGAUUGAAGUCUGCAACUCGACUUCAUGAAGUUGGAAUCGCUAGUAAUCGUGAAUCAGCAUGUCGCGGUGAAUACGUUCGCGGGGUUUGUACACACCGCCCGUCA